UACUAUAAAAUAGGGAUGUUUCUCUCCUGUUGACACAUCAGAUGCCAGGUCAGAAAUUCAUGCUCUGUGACGUUGACACGUGUCUCCCCUUACUAAAACUCAUCACUUCAUUUAUUCUAAAAUCGGAUGGGCUUUUAUCGUUAAAUGCCUGCUACGUCUUUUUACGCACAAGUUUUCGUUCUGUUUGAAUUCACUUACGUGGGCUUUUAAUAAUAUUGGGCUUCCUAUAUUUAUUUUGUUUCUUCACUGACGCUGGUCCAGAAGGAAAACAAUAUCUUUUUCAGGGUUUCUAGAUUUCAUCGUCCUUUUCCGAUCUCUGACAACGGAGUUCCAAGAUGGUGUGUGAGUGGAAUCGAAUCGUUAUGAGGAAUCAAUGGUCGAGUUUCAUUGGGAUCGUUUCAUAGUCGUAUCGUCACGAAGAAUCCGUGGUCGAGAUUCAUUGGUGUCGUUUCGUAUAAAGUUCUUAUGCUCAGAAACGUUACGAGAUCCAUUAAAGUCAGAAUUAACAACCAUAUCUGAAGGCGGUGAAUGAUUACACAUAAAAAUGUCAGUUUUCUUCCGAUAAACAUCAUCCUCAACUCAUAACAACACCAGAAACUUAUUUUCAUAAUCAUGUCAAAUUGAAGGCCAGAUGACAGCAUGUACUUUAACAUCGCUGAGUUUUGGCCAAAAUCAAUAAAAGAAAGUUCCAGUAACCAGAGCUUUUGAUUGCUCUGACUGUUUCGAUGUGAAUCUUGGGAAACUUACCUAUUCAGAAUCAUAGGUUAGACCAAACUAUUCCCCACUGUUUUUAAGGUUAUAAAGAACACAUACUCUUUCACUCAUUUAAAGGUUUAUACUCCAAACUUUUCUGCCAUGCAAGUGGCACCACUGUUUGUGUGAGUGUUUUUGACAGCCAAGCUAUGCAACUCCAUGAGAAACUAUUAGUCUUUGAUGAGGAUCGAAAGGUGAUCGUUGCAAGGAGAUUAAAUCCAAAAAUAGUGGGAGUAUCUAGAGGAUUGAGAUGGGUUGGCCUCUACUGCUGAAAAAUAUGGAGGGGUUAAGAAGAUCAAACCCUGAACACUAUCAGAGUUGAAUGCUUAUGAAAUCACUUCACCACCACAGGCUGCAGAGUUCCUAUGCACUCGGAAAAUUGACAGCAUUGAAACAGCAAAUGAGUGGUGCUACAUCUCAUAUUCAGCGUGGUUUAACAUGUUCACAGUGCACAGCCUGUUAUGAUGGAAACACUUAGGUGUUGCAAGGUAAUCCAAGUUAUACUAUAUUUUACACAUGCUUGAAAACGUCUAGAAGGAAAACCAGAUGCACCUAAUACCUAACAAGAGGAAGAGGAAUCAUGUAUACACUUUCCAGUAGUAAUCAGUGAACAAAUUACUUAUGAUCUUUUUGUAAGGUGCUCUCUGUUUCUUAUUUUUCAAGUAAUAAAGAAACUGUAAUAUUAUGUUUUUAAAGUACUUAUUGGUUUGGAUUUACUACU